GUGAGGAAUAUUGGUCAAUGGGCGAGAGCCUGAACCAGCCAAGUCGCGUGAAGGAUGAAGGUUUUAUGAAUUGUAAACUUCUUUUGCAGGGGAAUAAAGUGCAGGACGUGUCCUGUUUUGUAUGUACCCUGAGAAUAAGGAUCGGCUAACUCCGUGCCAGCAGCCGCGGUAAUACGGAGGAUCCGAGCGUUAUCCGGAUUUAUUGGGUUUAAAGGGUGCGUAGGUGGUUUGAUAAGUCAGCGGUGAAAGUUUGCAGCUUAACUGUAAAAAUGCCGUUGAAACUGUCGGACUUGAGUGUAAAUGAGGUAGGCGGAAUGCGUGGUGUAGCGGUGAAAUGCAUAGAUAUCACGCAGAACUCCGAUUGCGAAGGCAGCUUACUAAGCUACAACUGACACUGAAGCACGAAAGCGUGGGGAUCAAACAGGAUUAGAAACCCUUGUAGUCC
rnacentral:rRNA from 1 species